rnacentral:rRNA from 1 species
UACGUAGGGGGCAAGCGUUGUCCGGAAUCAUUGGGCGUAAAGCGCGUGUAGGCGGUCCGGUAAGUCCGCUGUGAAAGUCGGGGGCUUAACCCUCGGAUGCCGGUGGAUACUGUCGGGCUUGAGUACGGAAGAGGCGAGUGGAAUUCCUGGUGUAGCGGUGAAAUGCGCAGAUAUCAGGAGGAACACCAAUGGCGAAGGCAGCACUCUGGGACGUGACUGACGCUGAGACGCGAAAAGCGUGGGGAGCAAACAGG